AGACGACAUAUUUCAAAUCAGAUAAGUUAUCGCGAUGAAGGAACUGUAACAAAAAGUAAUAACUUCGUGGGAAACUUAAACAAAAUUUCGUUACGUUCUAGAUAGAUCAUAACUGGAAUGAAUUAUAAUGCGGAAUGCAAAACCACAUAUUUAAAGAAGAAAAACAAAGUUGAGACAGAUUUGAAUGAUCUGAAACUGCAACUCGGAGAGAAAAACGGAAGUAUUCCGUCUCUAGUGAAGACAGCCAAGGUCGAGAGACAGAGAGAGUAAUAUGCAGAAAUAUAGUUUAAUGAUAAAUUUUUUCUUAAAAAUUGAAAAGGGGCGCUGUACUCUGGUUAUACCUGAUAUCUCUUCAGAUAUGGAUAUGAUUUGUGAAUUUUAUCAUGAUUUCUGACAAUUUUUCGAAAAUAAAUCCAGGAAACUCAUUUUGAUCACAUUCAAUAUUGAAUUGUGUGCUCAAAGGAAAAAAUUAUUGUUGUUAUUAUUGUAUAAUUGUUACGAAUAUAAACAUUUAUAGUGAAUGUACUGAGAUAGAGUGAAUAAAUCUUUAAAUU